rnacentral:rRNA from 1 species
ACUACGGGAGGCAGCAGUGAGGAAUAUUGGUCAAUGGGAGAGAUCCUGAACCAGCCAAGCCGCGUGAGGGAAGACGGCCCUAUGGGUUGUAAACCUCUUUUGUCGGAGAACAAAACCCGGGACGUGUCCCGGACUGCGUGUAUCCGAAGAAAAAGCAUCGGCUAAAUCCGUGCAAGCAGCCACGGUAAUACGGAGGAUGCGAGCGUUAUCCGGAUUUAUUGGGUUUAAAGGGUGCGUAGGCGGUCCGUUAAGUCAGCGGUAAAAUUGCGGGGCUCAACCCCGUCGAGCCGUUGAAACUGGCAGACUUGAGUUGGCGAGAGGUACGCGGAAUGCGCGGUGUAGCGGUGAAAUGCAUAGAUAUCGCGCAGAACUCCGAUUGCGAAGGCAGCGUACCGGCGCCAGACUGACGCUGAGGCACGAAAGCGUGGGGAUCGAACAGGAUUAGAUACCCGAGUAGUC